GGGCCUAGUGGAGCAAGAGCUGAGGUCAGUAAUUGCCCACUGGGAGCUAUAAAUUAUAGUUCUCACGCCCUCUCUUUCUCGAUGUUUUUCAGAGCCUUCCACGCAGGGAGAGGCCAGGGAUCGCGGAAAGGGUAUCGCCUCGGGCUAGCGUGCUUACCGAGGGAUCGUUCGAUAGGUGGUCUACCUCUCGUGUUAUAUGCUUGUGAGAGGUUGAGAGUUGUACCGUAUAUGUAUAGAGACCACCAUUUUUGUACUAGAGACUGAUAUUGUACUACUUAUGAUUUCCUUUAUUGUCUAUCCUUAUCUCUUUACUUUGGUGUAGAUGUUAGAACUAUAUUUGCUCUGAUAUCAUUAGUUGCUGGUUAUUUUCCCUUCUUUCAUUUGUUCUAUUCUUGCUUUUACUUCCGCUUUUAUUGUAGACGCCUUAUAUAUGUAGACAUAUGCCGGGUCUGGGCACGCCACCGGGAGGGCCUCCGCCGGUCCCGGGGCGUGACAUCAUUUUAUCCUGGUUCACGAAAGAUGAUGAAUCGAUUCUCAUAAUCAAUAGUAGCAUAAUAUCUUGAGAGCCAAUCUAUCCCUAACACGAUGUCAAAACCCUCUAUCCGUCUCAACACCAAAAAGAACAUUGGUAUAAUCCAAUUGCUUAUCUGCACCAGAUAGGCGAGGCAAUACUCGGUGACAUAUAAUGUGUGAUCCAAAACUUGGACCCACUUUGGUGUGUAGCCUUUAUGAUGCUAAUCCCUUCAGUAAGAGCAAAUGUCCUGCUUAUGGAUGAAUGCGAUGCACUCAUGUCAAACAAUACCCUACAUCGUACAUUAAUUAAUAAAAUGACACCUGUUAAUGUUGUUGGCAACUGACUGGUCCUCCUCCUGUCUAACAAACACUAGGCCACUUGGUGCCUGUCGCGUCCUCUCCGACUGUUCUGACAUAGAGAGGCGCUCAGCGAAGGAGGUGGCAGGUGAUGCUCCUAUAGACUGCCUCGGGGUGGAUAGCACUUAAGUUGAAGACCUGGUCAGUGAUGCACCCCUAUAGAAGUCGACAUCCAUUUGGCCCGGCUAGACACACUUGUAGCAUCUCCUUCCUGUUGCUCGCAUUGUUGCGGCCGGUGGGUCUUGCCACAAAUCAUGCAUCAAGCUCAGAGUCGAGGAGCGUAAGACCUAUGCGACUAUGAUUGUGAGUGCGGGCUCUUGGAAGGCUGACUCAAUUGGCCCCCAGAAUGAUUCAUGGAUAGCUUCUUCUCUUUACUUUUCUUAUAGGCCUCGCGCUCUAUACACACUACAGAUUCGCCCCUCUCCACUAACCAAGCAUGAUCCACAACUACUCGGAAGAUCUAUAAAUCAAGCGUUUGGACCUUUGAGUAUGUCCCUGCUCAGAGGCCUCGCUCAAAGCACCGAGCCUUGUUCACUUCAUCCCACACGAUGAAUGGAAUGCAACUCACCAUGCAGGAGAACUCAUGCUCAUACUUCUAAACCAUGACGGAGUCGUUUGGCUCCUCCUCUAUCUGUUGCUUAACAUCGUCGAAAAAGUAUGACUCAAAGAGGAGUCCCAAAACUCCUCCUAAAUCGGGGGUGGCAAGUCGGCAAAUAGCUUGCUUUUCUCUAUUUUCACCACCGAUGGGUCGUUUUGUCCUAGACUGGAAUAUAAAGAUCAUCAAGCAACUUUUUCAUCAUGUCGACACGGAUAGGUCGUUUUGUCCAAACAGUGGGUGCCAAAGUGGAACUUGUCCUAGUCUAGAAUAUAAAGAUCAUUAAACAACUUUUUCAUCCUAUCGACCUAUGAUUUGACCACUAGUUGGUCCAUGCACUCACCGUUGUAGGUCGGCAGGUUGAAUUCCAAAAAUUAGCAAGGCUCUCCCAAGCUCACUCCUGCUCCUCCUUUAGAGCCAUAUGUGCUACAGCAAAGGUAUCCGAAUUUGUUUUGUGUGGCGCCUUCCUUGUUACCCUUGAUGGUGAAGGGUUUGUCGAGAUAGGCGUGACCGCCACCACAAUGCUCUCUACGGCAUUUCACACAUAAGGCGUAGGAGUAGGGUUCUGACUUACCUAUGCGGCUCCCCCUUAUUGUGCAAUGAAAUAAUGGGCUUUUUAGUCUAGUCCUCCCUGCGUCGGGAGGCCUCAGUAUAUCUUUUGACCACAUCUAUAAGCGCAGCCAUUUGGUCACACAACUCCCAUAUCUCACUCAACCCGGAGUGCAUGCUCAGGUGCCUCAGGUCGCCCAUGUAGUGCCAUUGUUCCUACACACAGUGACAUCAAUAACAACUUAGCCUAAAGCCUUCGGCUCGGUCCCUAUUGCAUCAUAUAAAAGAAGGUUGACCCAACUAAGCGAAAGUCCUUGAGAGACAUCUCCUCUUAUUCUCGACAACAAGUUGUCGGCUGCCAACGUGAGCAUCUCCCUCAAUCAGUCUCUAACAUUCCAUUUGGAAAUACUACAAAAUCCGAUUAUUUACUUUUACCAAUGUUCACACUCACUUGUGUUCCUAAGUCCUGAUCCUAAGUGUCAUACCCCGACACCGCCUCUUUGGUCGGAUUCGUGUGUUCCGACAGACCGCCGAAUGGAUAGAGUUUUUCCUGCCCACCCAAGGCGUCACAAUCAGUACAUUUCAAGUAGUUCCAAACAGGAAUAUAAUUCAUACACAGAUUGCAUAAGGAAUGCAUCAUAAACAUAAAUACUAAGAUAUUAUAUGCAUUCGUCUCAUUUCACAUUACAUUCACAUUCUGCAGAGCUGAGUACCAGUACUCGGGUUGGCGUACUGGUACUCGGGCAUCCAGUACCGGUACCCAGUUUCUAGUACCUCAAAACCUGAACGUUGGAUUCUCAUUUUCUACUACGUAUUAGUACUCAAUUUUCAGUACCGGUACCCAAUACAAAUUCAGUACCGGUACUCAGAUUUGAUUCCUCAAAACCCAAGAGCUCGAAUUCCUCAUUUUGUAUUGCAUACCGGUACUCAGAUUCCAGUAUCGGUACUCAAUACAAAAUUUGCAACAUAGGCAGAUUUCAGCCUUUGAAGCCCGUUUUCGCACCCGUUUUGCGCCGAAAACACUCGAAUGCUCCUCAAACUUUACUGGAAAUAUUUUAUUAGCUUUUUAACCUAGUUCCCACCAAAACUUCAUGAUUAUAGAAGUUCGGUAUUGUGACGCACUGGACCUUUGCAAAUUGCGAGGUUCGAGUGUUUGGGUGUAUUUCGAGCUUUUCCACACUUGGUAGAGGGUUGUAGAAUGUUUUCCGACCUAAAAAGUUCGAAAACCUGAGUUUUGGUUUGGUCCUGAGAGUUUUCACUCUCGGGGACCGGUCCCUGGAAGGAGAGACCGGUCCCCCAAUGAGCAGUGUUGCAGCAGCCCUGAGGCAACCGGUCCCUGGCGGGCGAGACCGGUCCCCGAGCGCGUCUACGCAGUGAGAGACCGGUCCCGCACAGGGAGAGACCGGUUCCCGAACAAUGGUUUUUCGGGUUCGCAGCGAGAGACCGGUCCCUGCUGGGGAGAGACCGGUCCCUCUGGGCGAAAACUGCCCAGACCGGGCUGAUGCAAUAUUAGAUUUUUGAGGGACCUCCUUGGAUUUUGUUACUUUGGAUGGCCUAAAUAGCCCUUCCACCCUCUCUCUUUCUCAUUUCUCUCCUCACACUCCCUCCAUACCCUUGUUAGAGAGAGAAGAAGGAGGAGAAGAAGAAGGAGAAGGAGGGAAGAAGAAGAAGUUUGAGAGCCACUAGUGGACUUGGAGCAUCUUCCUUACCCUAUCUUCUUCCUUGGUGCUUGGUGCUUGGACUUGGAGCUUACCAAAGAGGAGAUCUUCAUCCUUGGAGCUUGGAUUGGAGCUUCUUAGAGGUUUGUUGCUCUUUCCCUCCCUCUAGACCUUGAUUUGAGGAUUUUUGGUAGAUGGAACCCUAGAAAUGAGAUUUAGGGUUGAUUUUGGGCAUUUUGAACCUAGGGCUUUUAGGGCUAGAUUGAUUGGUUUAGAACCUUCCUUGGGCUUGGUUUGGAAGGGUUCUAGCUCUCUUUUGGAGCUUUGGAAGAGAUUUCUUCUCUUGAGGUGAGUUUUGGCUCUUUUUGCUUCUAGGUUAAUAUUUGGUUUUAUAAGAUGGUCGUAAUGCCCUCGUAUCUCUUCGCUGAUCACUUUUAGGAUAUUUUGAGACUCGGGGACAACUUUAUUCGGCGAAUCGAGACCCUACGCGACGGUUCGGUGGGUUUGACCUAGCCACACAAUGAGAAAUUCUCAUUUGUGCUUAUUUAUGUAUCGUUAAAUGAAAAAGCAUGCAUAUUCUUGUUACAUGUAUUUAUUGUGAUUUUUAGAAUGCUUAAAAUGCAUAUGUUAUAUGUAGUGAAAUUUUGGACCUCUAUGUAGUAGAGAGUUGCUUGGGAGAUCUUUGGUUGCAUUUAGCAUUCUUCAUGAGACUUGGUUUCAUGCUUCUAUAGUAUAAAUGAGUUCGGAUUCAUGCAUUUAAACCUAAGUUUAUUGAGACAUGAAAGUUGACAAGAUUGUCAUUUAGAAGGUAUGUGAAUUAGAGAGCUAAUGUCAUCAAGCGGCAUUGAGCUCGGGACAUAUGUGAACCUAGUGGAUAGGGCCAUCGAGGGACUUGGGAUACAUGUUGGACACCAGAUUGCCUAAGUGUCAUCAAGGGGCACUAGGCGUAGCAAAAGUUGAAAAUUCACAUUGUGACUUAAACUAGAUCUUCGGGAUGCUAGUGGCUAUACCAUGUUAGAGACAUGAGGAUUGGUUACUUGAGACUUGGACUAUGCUUGCUUGCCAUUUGUGCUCAUUCGCACAUGCUUGUGAGGGUCGCUCCCUACAAGCCGGCACUCCGGAGUUAGCCUACGCGACUUAUGUUCGCUCGUGCGGUAUCGAGAAGCCUACGGGGUCGAGUGGGACAGACACAUUCCAUGUGUAGGAAUGUCGGGCUACCACAGGCACUUAGGCGGCACAAGCCGGACUACCUUGGGUAGGUCCCUAAUUGGAAAUGGAAAUCGACACGGUGUGGUAUAUGGUCAAUCACUGCUUGAUAGGAUCGGUAGUUGGAUUACUUGGACAUGCUCAUGAUAUGGCAUUGGCACUUUAGUAUACUUGCCGGUGUCAUUAUUGCAUAGUAGUGUACUCGGAUGUUUGGAUAGUGUUUACCCUUAUGCAUUGACACAUUGCAUCGUGAGGUUUACUUGUUUAUUACGUUGAACCAUAUUAGUAUGCAUUAGACAUAUUACCAUUUGAUAGCGUAGAUGUACAUCACCAUGGCAUCAUGCUUACUUGAGACAUAUGGAUUAGCACUUCUAUUAUGCUUUCUACAGUUGUUACUAUUAUUCUUAUUGUUGCUUAUUAUACUCACCCCUUUUCUUUUGGGGCCUAGUGGUGCGAUGAGCUGAGGUCAGUAAUUGCCCAGUGGGAACUAUAAAUUAUAGUUCUCACGCCCUCUUUUUCUCGAUGUUUUUCAGAGCCUUCCACGCCGGGUGAGGCCAGGGACCGAGGGAAGGGCAUUGCUUCCAGCUAGCUCUUCAGCGAGGGACGAGUUGUUAGGUGGUCCACCUCUCGAUGUAUUUCUUUUUGCGAGAGGUUGAGAGUUUUACCCGUGUACUAGAGACCACCAUUUUUGUACUUUUGAGACAGAUAGUGUUCUACUUAUGGUUAUCUUUGUUUGACUAGCUUUAUUUUCUUUGCUUUGGUGUAGAUGAUAGAACUUUACUUGCUCUGAUAUCAGUAGUUGCUAGUUAUUUCGCUACUUUUAUUUGUUCUAUCUCCUGCUUUUACUUCCGCAUUUAGUCUAGACGCCUUAUAUGUGUAGACAUAUGGCGGGUCUGGGCACGCUACCGGGAGGGCCUUCGCCGGUCUCGGGGCGUGACAGGUAUAUUGCAAUAUCCCACUCAAAAAGAGUUUAGUUCGCGAAACUCAAAUUACACCUCAAUUCAACUUGUCGAAAUAAUGAGAGUAUCAACACAUUCUCUAACUCCAGAGCGGCUUCACACUUGUUGUGAUUGCUCAAGCGGCUCAUAAUGAAGGACGUGGGUCCAAUCAUGAACUUGCUUGCGGAAUGUGGUACACGAAACACAUUAUAAAUUUCCGCAAGUCUCGGUGCAGCGUAAGUCGAUAUUCAACGAC
rnacentral:lncRNA from 1 species